rnacentral:rRNA from 1 species
CCUACGGGAGGCAGCAGUGGGGAAUAUUGCACAAUGGGCGAAAGCCUGAUGCAGCGACGCCGCGUGAGGGAUGACGGCCUUCGGGUUGUAAACCUCUUUCAGCAGGGAAGCGGUACCUGCAGAAGAAGCACCGGCUAACUACGUGCCAGCAGCCGCGGUAAUACGUAGGGUGCGAGCGUUGUCCGGAAUUAUUGGGCGUAAAGAGCUUGUAGGCGGUUUGUCGCGUCUGCUGUGAAAAUCCGGGGCUCAACCCCGGACUUGCAGUGGGUACGGGCAGACUAGAGUGUGGUAGGGGAGACUGGAAUUCCUGGUGUAGCGGUGAAAUGCGCAGAUAUCAGGAGGAACACCGAUGGCGAAGGCAGGUCUCUGGGCCACACUGACGCUGAGAAGCGAAAGCAUGGGGAGCGAACAGGAUUAGAUACCCUUGUAGUC